AAUGAUUCCCUGAGUGGCUCUAGGCCACAAAGGCCAGUGAGUCCCAGACAGGGAGCUGUACAGUAGAUGAGAGACAGAGAUGCACCAUGCAGAGAAAGAAGAGUGCCUGUAAAACAGAAGAGUAUCGGUGCUGAUGACAUUUAAGCCAUUAGUGUCCCAACAGAGGUUCUUAAAUCUGUGUUCCUGACUUUCUUACACCACCAUGCUGCAGGCUGAGAAGGGAAGGACGAUUGUGGUGAUGAUCGAUCAUUCCCAGUUUCUUGGUGGACCUAUUGCACAAACUUCCAGACCUUAAUGAGCCCUGUUGACUUUGGAGCUGGUCCAUGAAUCCUGACUGAAUGUUGGACAGCUUGUCCAUACUUUAUCUUGGGACACAGAACACAUUUUUGCCAGUACGGUUUUCAAUCUGCUGUUGAAAUAAAGGACCUGAGAAUUGAGACCUCAAUUUUCCUGUCUGGGAAAAAAGGACUCAUUACAGUGGGUAACUGAAUGCCGCGGGAGGUCCUUCCGCUCCUCCAACCAAUAGCUGCUGAGAUACCAGCCCAUUGGGGCACCGCUCUCUCUUCACUUCCUGCUCCACUGGAGACUAGACUCCCUUCCUGGUUGCACAGGGGGCUGUUGUCUGGGACGGUGAUCUAAUGAAGUAUGUAAGCAUGUGGAAAAUAAACAGGUUGACAUCCAGUUCAACCACUUUGGAAAUCAGUGUGGCAGUUUCUCAGAAAAUUCGGGAUCAACCUACCCCUGGGCCCAGCAAUACCACUCUUGGGAAUAUACCCAAGAAAGGCCUUAUCAUACAACAAAAAUAUAUGCUCUACUAUGUUCAUAGCAGCAUUGUUUGUAAUUGUCAGAACCUGGAAACAACCUAGAUGCCCUUCAAUGGAAGAAUGGAUGAAGAAAGUAUGGAAUAUAUACAUAUUAGAGUACUACUCAGCAGUAAAAAACAAGGACUUCUUGAAUUUUGCCUACAAAUGGAUGGAAAUAGAAAACACUAUACUGAGUGAGGUAAGCCAGACCCAAAAAGAGGAACAUGGGAUGUACUCACUCAUAUUUGGUUUCUAGCCAUAAACAAAGGACAUUGAGCCUAUAAUUAGUGAUCCUAGAGAAGCUAAAUAAGGAGAACCCAAAGAAAAACAUAUAGGCAUCUUCCGGAAUAUUAACCUUCAUCAGGCGAUGAAAGGAGACAGAGACAGAGACCCACAUUAGAGCACCAAACUGAAAUCUAAAGGUCCAAAUCAGGAGCAGAAGGAGAGAGAGCACGAGCAAGGAACUCAGGACCCUGAGGGGUGCACCCACACACUGAGACAAUGGGGAUGUUCUAUCGGGAACUCACCAAGGCCAGCUGGCCUGGAUCUGAAAAAGCCUGGGAUAAAACCGGACUCGCUGAACAUAGUGGACAAUGAGGACUACUGAGAACUCAAGAACAAUGGCAAUGGGUUUUUGUUCCUACUGCACGAACUGGCUUUGUGGGAGCCUAGGCAGUUUGGAUGCUCACCUUACUAGGCCUGGAUGGAGGUGGGUGGUCCUUGGACUUCCCACAGGGCAGGAAACUUGAUUGCUCUUUGGGCUAACAAGGGAGGGGGACUUGAUUUGGGGAGGGGGAGGGAAAUGGGAGGCAGUGGAGGGGAAGAAUCAGAAAUCUUUAAUAAAUAAAUAAAAAUUUAAAAAAAGAUGUAUAAAGAAGAAAGGAACAUUUGUUUUUUGUUUUGGAAGAUACAGCUCCUGAACAAUUCACCCUAUUACUUUUGGGUGAGUGGCAAUGAACGACUCAUGAUAGAAUCUGGUGAUAAAGCAAAAUGUUUUCUCAUGGUUCCUGCUAGCACGAGAAAGCAAAAGGAAGGGAACAGAGUCUCACCAUGCUCUUCAAGGGCAUACGGCUAAUAAAUAGAUAAUUUCCUACUAGUACUCAUCUAGGAUCCAUAAUCUCUUAAUGAGACCAGGGACUGGGGAUCAAACCUUUAUUGCAUGUUCUUUUGAAAGACUCUUAUUCUAACCAUUGCCAGUCUCUAAUAGCACAUUUAUAAGGACAAGUUUGCUGCAGUACCCUGGCAAAUUGCUUAUGUGCAGAAGCUGCAGCUGAAUCAGGGUAGAUGCCAUGUUCAGCUAACAGUUAUGUGUUGGUGACAUCUACACAGUGGACAGCUGUGUGUUGCCAGCAUCCACACAAUGACUUCUUUAAGGUUCUUUUACAUGAUAUAACACAAAUCUUACUUUUGAGACUAUUCUCUUCAUGUUUCUAUAUAACCUCAAACAAAAAUCCCAAGAUAGAGUGGUCAUCAGGACUAAAACUCAGAUUUUUUGAAAUUGUGUCUCUAUGUUCCAUAUUUUUUCCUGAUUAUCCCAGCAUUUUUGAGAAAUCAUAGAAGUCAAAUAUUCAUCUGGCACCUAUGUUCAAAUGGAAAUAGAAACUUAUUGCCAUGAGCUUUUCCAAAAAUAUGAAGAUGUAGUAAAAUAAUGAGAUUUUUGAAAAUGAAAGAAUGAGAGAGAGUAAAGAACCACCCUCAGAGAAAACAACAUAGGUCAGCAUUCAGUUUCUUUUUUAGAGGUCCAAAGUAGAAUAAAUGGUGAUAAGGAAUAUUAAGGAAGGUAUGAAAGAUAUGUUGGGAAACAGUAGGAUCACAGCUCAGUGUUAAAUGAGAUUUGGGAGUAGGAAAACUUUUGACUCUGGUAGGAGUUUGGAAUUGUAUUUAGGAGAGUUUUUUUAGCCUUGAUUAGUAUCAAGGAGUUUUGUGGUUAGACUAUCCCUGUUGUCUGUAGGCUGGAUUUUGAUCUAUCCCCAUGCCUUGCUGAAUAUGAUUCUGAACCAUGAGAAACAAGACUAUGGUCCCACCCAAGGUGGUACCAAUCCAUGGAAAAGCUUUUUGCCCUCCUGCUCAUUAUCAUCCUGAAGCAAUAAAACAAAUUCAAAAAAGUUGACUUCUCACAGGGCAGGGAACCCUGAUUGCUCUUUGGGUUGAAGAG